rnacentral:rRNA from 1 species
CUAAGUUUGAUGGCGACCGGCGCACGGGUGAGUAACACGUAUCCAACCUGCCGAUGACUCGGGGAUAGCCUUUCGAAAGAAAGAUUAAUACCCGAUGGCAUAGUUCUUCCGCAUGGUGGAACUAUUAAAGAAUUUCGGUCAUCGAUGGGGAUGCGUUCCAUUAGGUUGUUGGCGGGGGUAACGGCCCACCAAGCCUUCGAUGGAUAGGGGUUCUGAGAGGAAGGUCCCCCACAUUGGAACUGAGACACGGUCCAAACUCCUACGGGAGGCAGCAUG